GACGAACGCUGGCGGCGUGCUUAACACAUGCAAGUCGAACGGAAAGGCCCUGCUUUUGUGGGGUGCUCGAGUGGCGAACGGGUGAGUAACACGUGAGUAACCUGCCCUUGACUUUGGGAUAACUUCAGGAAACUGGGGCUAAUACCGGAUAGGAGCUCCUGCUGCAUGGUGGGGGUUGGAAAGUCUCGGCGGUUGGGGAUGGACUCGCGGCUUAUCAGCUUGUUGGUGGGGUAGUGGCUUACCAAGGCUUUGACGGGUAGCCGGCCUGAGAGGGUGACCGGCCACAUUGGGACUGAGAUACGGCCCAGACUCCUACGGGAGGCAGAUGUGGGGAAUAUUGCACAAUGGGCGGAAGCCUGAUGCAGCAACGCCGCGUGCGGGAUGACGGCCUUCGGGUUGUAAACCGCUUUCGCCUGUGACGAAGCGUGAGUGACGGUAAUGGGUAAAGAAGCACCGGCUAACUACGUG
rnacentral:rRNA from 1 species